rnacentral:rRNA from 1 species
CACGUAGGGCGCAAGCGUUGUCCGGAAUUAUUGGGCGUAAAGAGCUCGUAGGCGGUCUGUUGCGUCCGCUGUGAAAACCCGGGGCUUAACCCCUGGCUUGCAGUGGAUACGGACAGACUAGAGGUAGGUAGGGGAGAAUGGAAUUCCCGGUGUAGCGGUGAAAUGCGCAGAUAUCAGGAAGAACACCUAUGGCGAAGGCAGCUCUCUGGGACGGUACUGACGCUGAGACGCGAAAGCGUGGGGAGCGAACAGG